AUUGAACGCUGGCGGCAUGCCUAACACAUGCAAGUCGAACGGUAACGCGGGGGCAACCCUGGCGACGAGUGGCGGACGGGUGAGUAAUACGUAGGAAUCUGCCCAUUUGUGGGGGAUAACCCGGCGAAAGCCGGGCUAAUACCGCAUACGCUCUACGGAGGAAAGCAGGGGAUCGUAAGACCUUGCGCUAAUGGAUGAGCCUACGUCGGAUUAGCUAGUUGGUAGGGUAACGGCCUACCAAGGCGACGAUCCGUAGCUGGUCUGAGAGGACGAUCAGCCACACUGGGACUGAGACACGGCCCAGACUCCUACGGGAGGCAGCAGUGGGGAAUAUUGGACAAUGGGGGCAACCCUGAUCCAGCAAUGCCGCGUGUGUGAAGAAGGCCUGCGGGUUGUAAAGCACUUUCAGAGGGGAAGAAAAAAUCGGAGCUAACACCUCCGAGCUUGACGUUACCCUUAGAAGAAGCACCGGCUAACUCCGUGCCAGCCGCCGCCGUAAGAC
rnacentral:rRNA from 1 species